AUUGAACGCUGGCGGCAUGCCUAACACAUGCAAGUCGAACGGCAGCGCGACUGGGGUAACCCAGUUGGCGGCGAGUGGCGGACGGGUGAGUAAUAUGUAGGAAUCUACCCAGAGGUAGGGGAUAACUUGGGGAAACUCAAGCUAAUACCAUAUGAGCCUUACGGGGGAAAGCAGGGGAUCGAAAGACCUUGCGCCUUUGGAUGAGCCUACAUCGGAUUAGCUAGUUGGUAGGGUAAAGGCCUACCAAGGCGACGAUCCGUAGCAGGUCUGAGAGGAUGACCUGCCACACUGGGACUGAGACACGGCCCAGACUCCGACGGGAGGCAGCAGUGGGGAAUAUUGGACAAUGGGCGAAAGCCUGAUCCAGAAAUGCCGCGUGUGUGAAGAAGGCCUUCGGGUUGUAAAGCACUUUCAGUGGGGAGAAAGGGGUGAAUGCUAAUAUCAUUCAUCAUUGAUGUUACCCACAGAAGAAGCACCGGCUAACUCUGUGCCAGCCGCCGCGGUAA
rnacentral:rRNA from 1 species